rnacentral:rRNA from 1 species
AAAUUGAAGAGUUUGAUCAUGGCUCAGAUUGAACGCUGGCGGCAGGCCUAACACAUGCAAGUCGAGCGGAAACGAGUUAUCUGAACCUUCGGGGAACGAUAACGGCGUCGAGCGGCGGACGGGUGAGUAAUGCCUAGGAAAUUGCCCUGAUGUGGGGGAUAACCAUUGGAAACGAUGGCUAAUACCGCAUGAUGCCUACGGGCCAAAGAGGGGGACCUUCGGGCCUCUCGCGUCAGGAUAUGCCUAGGUGGGAUUAGCUAGUUGGUGAGGUAAGGGCUCACCAAGGCGACGAUCCCUAGCUGGUCUGAGAGGAUGAUCAGCCACACUGGAACUGAGACACGGUCCAGACUCCUACGGGAGGCAGCAGUGGGGAAUAUUGCACAAUGGGCGCAAGCCUGAUGCAGCCAUGCCGCGUGUGUGAAGAAGGCCUUCGGGUUGUAAAGCACUUUCAGUCUGAUGCAGCCAUGCCGCGUGUGUGAAGAAGGCCUUCGGGUUGUAAAGCACUUUCAGUCGUGAGGAAGGUAAUGUAGUUAAUAGCUGCAUUAUUUGACGUUAGCGACAGAAGAAGCACCGGCUAACUCCGUGCCAGCAGCCGCGGUAAUACGGAGGGUGCGAGCGUUAAUCGGAAUUACUGGGCGUAAAGCGCAUGCAGGUGGUUUGUUAAGUCAGAUGUGAAAGCCCGGGGCUCAACCUCGGAAUUGCAUUUGAAACUGGCAGACUAGAGUACUGUAGAGGGGGGUAGAAUUUCAGGUGUAGCGGUGAAAUGCGUAGAGAUCUGAAGGAAUACCGGUGGCGAAGGCGGCCCCCUGGACAGAUACUGACACUCAGAUGCGAAAGCGUGGGGAGCAAACAGGAUUAGAUACCCUGGUAGUCCACGCCGUAAACGAUGUCUACUUGGAGGUUGUGGCCUUGAGCCGUGGCUUUCGGAGCUAACGCGUUAAGUAGACCGCCUGGGGAGUACGGUCGCAAGAUUAAAACUCAAAUGAAUUGACGGGGGCCCGCACAAGCGGUGGAGCAUGUGGUUUAAUUCGAUGCAACGCGAAGAACCUUACCUACUCUUGACAUCCAGAGAACUUUCCAGAGAUGGAUUGGUGCCUUCGGGAACUCUGAGACAGGUGCUGCAUGGCUGUCGUCAGCUCGUGUUGUGAAAUGUUGGGUUAAGUCCCGCAACGAGCGCAACCCUUAUCCUUGUUUGCCAGCGAGUAAUGUCGGGAACUCCAGGGAGACUGCCGGUGAUAAACCGGAGGAAGGUGGGGACGACGUCAAGUCAUCAUGGCCCUUACGAGUAGGGCUACACACGUGCUACAAUGGCGCAUACAGAGGGCAGCCAACUUGCGAAAGUGAGCGAAUCCCAAAAAGUGCGUCGUAGUCCGGAUUGGAGUCUGCAACUCGACUCCAUGAAGUCGGAAUCGCUAGUAAUCGUGGAUCAGAAUGCCACGGUGAAUACGUUCCCGGGCCUUGUACACACCGCCCGUCACACCAUGGGAGUGGGCUGCAAAAGAAGUAGGUAGUUUAACCUUCGGGGGGACGCUUACCACUUUGUGGUUCAUGACUGGGGUGAAGUCGUAACAAGGUAGCGCUAGGGGAACCUGGCGCUGGAUCACCUCCUUAAACGAUGAU